UACGAAGGGGGCUAGCGUUGUUCGGAAUUACUGGGCGUAAAGCGCGCGCAGGCGGCUAUCCAAGUCAGUGGUGAAAGCCCGGAGCUCAACUCCGGAACUGCCAUUGAAACUGUUUAGCUGGAGUAUGAGAGAGGUGAGUGGAAUUCCCAGUGUAGAGGUGAAAUUCGUAGAUAUUGGGAAGAACACCAGUGGCGAAGGCGACUUACUGGACACAUAUUGACGCUGAGGUGCGAAAGCGUGGGGAGCAAACAGG
rnacentral:rRNA from 1 species